GUGAGGAAUAUUGCACAAUGGGGGCAACCCUGACGCAGCAACGCCGCGUGGAGGAAGAAGGCCUCCGGGUCGUAAACUCCUGUCCCCGGGGAAGAACCCAAUGACGGUACCCGGGGAGGAAGCCCCGGCUAACUCCGUGCCAGCAGCCGCGGUAAUACGGGGGGGGCGAGCGUUGUUCGGAAUUACUGGGCGUAAAGGGCGCGUAGGCGGCGCGAGAAGUUCCGGGUGAAAGCCCCCGGCUCAACCGGGGAAGGGCCUGGAAAACCAUCGCGCUGGAGUGCCGGAGAGGCAAGCGGAAUUUCUGGUGUAGCGGUGAAAUGCGUAGAUAUCAGAAGGAACACCUGCGGCGAAGGCGGCUUGCUGGACGGACACUGACGCUGAGGCGCGAAAGCCAGGGGAGCAA
rnacentral:rRNA from 1 species